rnacentral:rRNA from 1 species
CCUACGGGAGGCAGCAGUGAGGAAUAUUGGGCAAUGGACGAGAGUCUGAACCAGCCAAGUAGCGUGAAGGAUGACUGCCCUAUGGGUUGUAAACUUCUUUUAUAAAGGAAUAAAACGAGGCACGUGUGCCUGUUUGCAUGUACUUUAUGAAUAAGGAUCGGCUAACUCCGUGCCAGCAGCCGCGGUAAUACGGAGGAUCCGAGCGUUAUCCGGAUUUAUUGGGGUUAAAGGGAGCGUAGAUGGGUUGUUAAGUCAGUUGUGAAAGUUUGCGGCUCAACCGUAAAAUUGCAAUUGAUACUGGCAGUCUUGAGUACAGUUGAGGUAGGCGGAAUUCGUGGUGUAGCGGUGAAAUGCUUAGAUAUCACGAAGAACCCCGAUUGCGAAGGCAGCUUACUAAACUGUGACUGACAUUGAUGCUCGAAAGUGUGGGUAUCAAACAGGAUUAGAUACCCCAGUAGUC